AGCACAACGGAGGAAUUGCUAAUCGCUAAUGAGAUGCUAGCGUGGCUAAACCUCGCGAAACCUGUUGAAAUGUGAUUACUUUGACACUAUGACAAACUAGUGAGUCAACAACUUUCUUAACACAGUCAAACAUCAAGCAAGUGCAACACAAGACCAAGCAAGAUGGCAAAUAAGUGACUUACUAGUCCGGCAGAGAGUGGUAACCGGGCGGCUUCCAGAAACUUACAUAACCCAGUAAUAUGCCUACGGACCCUGGUAUGGCACAGAGGCCAUUCUCCAUAUUAAACGUCAUUGUAGCGCCCCAAUUUUUUUAAGCUGUUAUUUUAAGGUAACAUUGCUAAUCCUAACCCUGAAGUACAAUUGCUACAUACCGUUACUUUUAAAGUGAUCUAGAAGUGUGUUUUUAAAUCACCGUUGAUCGUAUUAAAGUGACAGAAGUGUGUUUUAAAUCACCGUUGAACGUAUUAAAGUGACGGAAAAGUGUGUUUUAAAUCACCGUUGAUCGUAUUAAAGUCAUCUAGAAAUGUGUGUUCCAGAGGCAACUUAUGAAAAUGUGUAUGUUGGGGAAAUGCAAUACCAACACUGAAAGCAUUAAUGACAACAUUAUUAAUGUAAAACCAUCUUUUUUUUCACACAAUAAACCAAACCUGCCUCAGUUAGUGAGUGAAUGGAGUUUAAUAAUGAACAUGUUGACACAGUAUUACAGAUCAUCUGCAUACAUACACCUGCUCUCCCAGAGCUGUGGCUCAAUCAAUCACCUGCACACAGAUGUACUUCUAGAGACCUGUUGUAGUUACCUGGACGCAGGUGGGGGUAGCAAUUCUAUAGAUUGAUCCGGCGGGGUACGCGAGGAAGAAGGCAAUAAACAGGCAGACGCCACUCUAGGUGACCCUGUGUGAAUGUCGACACACAGGCGGCACUCUCCGUUACCUGUGCAAAAGGUAAGCUACGUUUGAAUCACCUGAGAAAAGGUGUAAGCGCCUCCAUCUCUUCAACACCUCCAAGUUUAACUACCUUUUCACAGGUGAGGUAUGUGACUCAGUUAUACGUGCACAGGUAGUCAUCUACCUUGGUCUGAAUCACCUGUCGACAGGUAGUCAUCUACCUUGGUCUGAAUCACCUGUCGAC
ensembl:lncRNA